rnacentral:misc_RNA from 1 species
AUGAAUAAACUUGGUCGAGCUGUUGCUGGUUCUUCGGGACAUGUGCACGCUUGCCACCAUUUUUAACCACUGUGCACCUUUUGUAGACUGGAAGCAUUUGUCGAGGCAACUCGGAUUGAGAAUUGCUGUGCGCAAGCCAGCUGUUCUUGUGUUUCUCAGUCUAUGUUUCUAUACACUCCUAAUGUAUGUAUCUGAAUGUAUUGCUAGGCCUUAGUGCCUUUAAAACAAUA